GGUUUAAUUUUCCGCAAUGGGCGAAAGCCUGACGGAGCAAUACCGCGUGCGGGACGAAGGCUUUUGGGUCGUAAACCGCUUUUGUUAGGGAAGAAUACAAUGACGGUACCUAACGAAUCAGCAUCGGCUAACUCCGUGCCAGCAGCCGCGGUAAUACGGGGGAUGCAAGCGUUAUCCGGAAUUAUUGGGCGUAAAGCGUCCGCAGGUGGUUUAUCAAGUCUGCUGUCAAAUCGUAGGGCUUAACCCUAUAAAGGCAGUGGAAACUGAGAGACUAGAGUACGGUAGGGGUAGCGGGAAUUCCCAGUGUAGCGGUGAAAUGCGUAGAUAUUGGGAAGAACACCAGCGGCGAAGGCGCGCUACUGGGCCGAAACUGACACUCAUGGACGAAAGCUAGGGGAGCGAAAGGGAUUAGAUACCCCUGUAGUCCUAGCUGUAAACGAUGACAACUAGGUGUUGCGCGUAUCGACCCGUGCAGUGCCGUAGCUAACGCGUUAGGUUGU
rnacentral:rRNA from 1 species